rnacentral:sRNA from 1 species
UAUAGUCCUUGAGAGCUUGAUUGCUAAA